CUACGGGGUGCAGCAGUGAGGAAUAUUGGACAAUGGAUGGCAAUCUGAUCCAGCCAUGCCGCGUGAAGGAAGAAUGUCCUAUGGAUUGUAAACUUCUUUUGUAUGGGAGCAAUAAGUUGUACGCGUACAAUGAUGAGAGUACCAUACGGAUAAGCAUCGGCUAACUCCGUGCCAGCAGCCGCGGUAAUACGGAGGAUGCGAGCGUUAUCCGGAUUUAUUGGGUUUAAAGGGUGCGUAGGCGGUUACUGUAAGUCAGCGGUGAAAUUUAGGGGCUUAACCCCUACCGUGCCGUUGAUACUGCAGAGCUGGAAUAGGGAUGCUGUUGGCGGAAUGUGUAGUGUAGCGGUGAAAUGCAUAGAUAUUACACAGAACACCGAUUGCGAAGGCAGCUGACAAAUCCCUUAUUGACGCUGAUGCACGAAAGUGUGGGGAUCGAACAGGAUUAGAUACCCCGGUAGUC
rnacentral:rRNA from 1 species